UUUCCAUUUUUUAGUUUUUCAUAGGUAGAAAAUCGGGGUUUUGCUAGGUUGGAGGGGUACGCCUUGACCCUGGUAACUUGUGGUGAUCAGGGAUAAUGCAAAUUGUACUCCCUCGUGUGUUUUCAAGCUCAAAGUGAGCUACCCGAGCUUUGGGAUCAUUUUGGCUCAAUUGAAGGUUUAAGGUUUCAAUCGAUGAUUCGACAUAACUCCCAAAUGGCUCGGUGAAAACAUGAGCAGUCGAGCUUAAAUGAAAGGUGUGAAGACCCUCUACAAACCCCAUAGAAGAAAUCUUGAUAACCGGACCGGAAGUGACGAAGCCCUGAGAAGUUUAGCAUCUUCUGAGUUUGCCACUGGUAGUUCCACUACCAACCGGUGCCUAUCUACUGGUGGGUCUACUGAUCCUAAUCAGCUACUGUCCACCUCAUUGCUAGCACCGACCAGUAGGAACAAUCAUCUACCAAUGAGUCUUACUGAACUAUCACAUUGGUAGUUUUAAGGGGCCUUCUAGGGGACCCUCUUAAACCCCUUUUGACACUCUUUAACGCUCGUUUACCGUUGCAAUUAGGAUAGAGAUAUUCACAUCUGGUGAGGCCUAGCGCGGUUUGAUUCGGGCAUCCAUACUUGGGAUAUUAGUUCACCCGGUCUACAAACAAGAUGAUGAAUGAGCAGUGACACAUCCUCUUCCAUGACGGAUUGCGACGGGAACUAAUGGACACAAGAGCCCAAGGAGUAUGAUUCGGAUUAUGCAUGUGAUGCAUGUGCCUAUAUGGCACCAUGAACCAUGAACCGAGGAUCAAACUUCCCAUUAUCAUUUUUGAUAUCUUGAUGUUGUUGGUAACUCUUGUGGUAUUAUGAAUAUGUUUUGUAAACGUUUGUGAUAAAUCUAUUUAAAAAUAUAAGAUUAUCAUUUUAGCUCCCCAGUAACGAGUUGGUCUUUAUUAUAUUAUUCCACUUCAAUGAUUUAGUUUGGUUUAA